CUUCCAUAAAUAAUGACCGGUCCCUAAGCAAAUGACAUAUCACAUUGCAUAAUAACUUUAAAACCGUUCGUAUUAUAAGUUAUGUCUACAUACUACUAUUACAACAUAUGAGUUAUGUCGGCAAAUUUGUAUUAGUUAUCUAUAUUAUAUCUUAUUGGAUUCUUCUGAGCCCAAUAUGGCAAAAUAUUAAGUCGAGACUUCAAUAUUGGGCGAGACUGAAGGUCGAGCCUAAUAUUGAAGUCGAGACUUAAUAUUUUGCCAUAUUGGGCGAAGAUGAAUCCAAUAGGAGUUUUAUUAUAUCGAACAAAACAAUUCUAUAACAAAAAUUGUCAAUAAGCGAUAAAGUAACUACAGCGAGACUAAUACAGCGACAACAUUACUACAUAUAUCGGCGG